rnacentral:lncRNA from 1 species
GGCAAGUGCACGAAUUCCGGUGGUGCUGUCUUACGUUGGACGCAAGUAGACACGUUAUCUCAAUGCUCGCUGCAAUUCCACGAGAUGUGAAUAUAAAGGAAAUGCAAUUUCAUUGUCUUAACCAUUAGAAAUUCUCCAAAGGGAUGGUGCUGUGUAAAUUGUGUGAACUCAGAACAGCUCAGUUCAAACUGGAUCAAGACAAAAAGUCUUAGAGCGGUGACUUUCCCUUCUGUCAUCUUAACUACUUUUGUGUGACCAAACGUUUCCUGUGCCAACCAGCGGGAGAGAAGAAGUGAGCUUGUCUCUUAAUUGCUUUGGAGUUUUGUUUGUCUAUUUAGCGUCCCUUUUUGAAGUCUCAAGAUUUAUGGAACAAUAAAUGCCAUUUACCGCUGGGUGCUUAUUUUGGAUUUCUCAUCGGUGUUAGAAGUUGGGUAAAAAUAUUUAUCUGAAAGCUUAUCAAGUUGUAAAUGACGCCAAGAAGUACUGUGCCAUUGUUCAUCCCAGUGAAACAAAUUAAAUCAUGGCAACAGCAAAGUGUGUUUCUUGUUUUUUUUUUUUUUUCAGUAAUAAGAUGCAGACAUUUUAGUAUAAUACAUAUUUUCUAAUUGUUUUGGGGGGAAAAAACGGCCAGGAAGUAAGGUUUAAACAAGGAUGGUUUGUCUGGGUUGCUGAAUGAUGUUCUCAGUAUUCCACAACAAAUUCUGGCCUUGCAAGUGGCCCAGGGUACAGCAGUCUAAGCAACAGCAGGUUCACUCAGCAGUGUGGAAGAUUAAUUUCAGACAGGUCUCAUCUUUUUCACGGCGUUCAGGAGUCCAACCUUCAGAUUACCCACCAGGCUGUCACAUCUCAUUGGGAACUAGAGAAGCUUGCCUUGUGUGGCCACCUUUUGGCGAAUGGAGCGGGGCAGAACACGGGAACGGGAGCUUCUCCUUGCUGAGGGUGUAAAGACGAAGACCUGGAAGGAUGAAGUGAGUGAAUUCGUCUUGGGUGACUCCCUUCCCCACCUCCUGGUCCCUCCUGUUGCUCCUAUCCAGGAGCGGUGAGCUCUCCGGAGUUUCCAGUGGUUUAGUUUCCGCUCCAAGUGCAAAUACAACCCGUUCUGAGACACUCGCCGGAGAAGGCAGGUCUAGUCUCCGCCAGGAAGCUGCCCCAAGCCUGGCCCUCCAUCCUCACUCUCCAGGACCACUCUCCUCCACCUUCAAGAUAGACCGCAGAUGACCCGACGGCCUGGGCAUCGAAGGCCGUCCCCAUCCUCUCCGGGCAGCUGCUACCCAAACCGCACUGCGCCAGCUCCGCGCUGUAGUAAAUCGCAAUUCGCUUGACUCCCUGACGGGUCUGUGAAUCCGAGGGGUGGGCGUGGGGGGCGGAGGAUGUCCUCAACCCUCAGAAAGCCCCUGCCCCCCGCUGUGUCCUGCACAAGGUGGAGAAGUCAUUAAGCCUUAGCUGGCAGGAUUAAGCGAAUUCACACCAAGAGGUGAAUGACUGAGCUCGGGGACCUUCCUCGGGUGUUUUACUUUAAAAGAAGCUGCUUAGUAACCCGGAAGAAUAUGAAUCGGGACGGUGGUGUAGACCUGGCUGGAGAGGAGUUUGGAAACUGGGAGAGACACUGAAUACUCUGUGUGCAGGCCUUGCCAGUCCGGCAGCUCCUGGCACUGUCUUGCCCGGAGCCUGAGGUCUGGCAGCUCCUCGGUGCCGACCACUACAUAGUAGCUGCUGAAUAAAGAAAUGCUUGUGGAAUUAGAGAAGAUCCCGUUCCAUCCCAGGCGCAUCCAGGGCCCAGGAAGGCCUGGCCUCCGGGCCACCGCGGGCUCCCUCCAGCCUGCCCGCCCACACCCUCUAGGCCACGGCGGGACUCGGGCGGGGGGACUUCCCAGGCGGGGGCUGGACGGAAGACACCGGUUACAGGAUGCGUGCACGUCCAGCUGUCCUGAGCCCCUGCAGCCGAGGCCAGCGGCAGAGGGGCCCCGGUGGCCGGCCGGGCCCCGCGGGUGCAGCGCCCCGACCCGGCGGGGAGGCUCCGGUGCCUCCGCGCCCCGGGCCCGCGCGGCGGGCGGCGACGAUGCCCGCGGCGGGGGGGGCGGGGGACUGUCCCGGUCGCCUCUCAGGGUCGGGCUGGAGUUCCCCCGGCGGGCCGCUGGGGCAGGCGUGUCGCGGCGCUCUCGGACUGCGGGA